rnacentral:rRNA from 1 species
GAUGAACGCUGGCGGCGUGCUUAACACAUGCAAGUCGAGCGAAGCAGUUAAGUUGAUUUCUUCGGAUUGAUUCUUAACUGACUGAGCGGCGGACGGGUGAGUAACGCGUGGGUGACCUGCCCCAUACCGGGGGAUAACAGCUGGAAACGGCUGCUAAUACCGCAUAAGCGCACAGAGCUGCAUGGCUCGGUGUGAAAAACUCCGGUGGUAUGGGAUGGGCCCGCGUCUGAUUAGGCAGUUGGCGGGGUAACGGCCCACCAAACCGACGAUCAGUAGCCGGCCUGAGAGGGCGACCGGCCACAUUGGGACUGAGACACGGCCCAAACUCCUACGGGAGGCAGCAGUGGGGAAUAUUGCACAAUGGGGGAAACCCUGAUGCAGCGACGCCGCGUGAGCGAAGAAGUAUUUCGGUAUGUAAAGCUCUAUCAGCAGGGAAGAUAAUGACGGUACCUGACUAAGAA